AGAGUUUGAUCCUAGCUCAGAAUGAACGUUAAUGGUUAGCAUAACACAUGCGAGUUAAAAUUAAAUUAAUUAGCGCACGGGUGAGUAAAUUUAUAGGAAUUAAUUCGGGUAAAUUGUUGAAUGCAUGUAAAGAUUAAUCGUAUUCGAAAAAGUCUAUAAAAGAUUAAGUAGUUGGUGACUAAAGCCCACCAAGCUUACGAUCUUUAGUUGGUCUGUGAGGAUGAACAACCACAUUGGGAAUGAAAACGGCCCAAACUUUAUUAAAAGGCAGCAGUGAGGAAUAUUGAGCAAUGAGCGAAAGCUUGACUCAGCUAGACCAUUUGUGUGAGUGAAGGUAAAUAGCCGUAAAACACAAUUUUAUAAAAUAAUGAUUGAUUUUUAAAAGUCCUGGCUAAUUCUGUGCCAGCAGCCGCGGUAAAACAGGAAGGGCAAACGUUAUUCGAAUUGAUUGGGCGUAAAGAAUAUGUAGGUUGGUUAUUAACUUUUAACUAAAAGCUUAAAGUUUAUUUUUAUUGAAGUUAAAAAAGUAAUAGUCUAGAGUUUAAGUAAAGAUUAUAGAAUUUUAAAUGUAACGGUAAAAUGUAUUGAUAUUUAAAGGAAUCUCGAUAGCAAAGGCAAUAAUCUAAUUUAAGACUAACGCUGAGAUAUUAAAGUAUGGGAAUCAAAAGGGAUUAGAUACCCCUGUAGUCCAUACCCUGAACAAUGAGUGCUUAUUCUAUAAGACUAAUUAGAAUAAAAUUAACGUUAGCACUCCGCCUGGGAACUACGGUCGCAAGGCUGAAACUCAAAGGAAUUGACGGGGACCUGCACAAGCAGUGGAGCAUGUGGUUUAAAUCGACAAUACACGCGAAAUCUUACCAAUUUUUGCAUUAUAACAGGUGUUGCAUGGCUGUCGUCAGUCCGUGCUGUGAAGCGUUUGGUUCAUUCCAAUAAACGGACAAAACUCUUAUGUAUUUUAGAUUACAAACAGUUGAAGAUAUUUCAAAGGAAGGAAAGAACGACGUCAAGUCCUCAUGACCCUAAUAAAUUGGGCUACUUUCAUGUGCUACAAUGAUUUUUUCAAUUAGAAGCAAUACUGAAAACUAUAGCUAAACCGCAACAAAAAUCAAGUUCGGAUUAAUUUCUGAAAAUCGAAAUUAUGAAGUUGGAAUUGCUAGUAAUCGUAAAUUAGAAUGUUACGGUGAAUUUGUUCUCAGGUCUUGUACACACCGCCCGUCACGCUACGGAAAUUUAUUUUAUUGGAAAAUAAACAAAUUUUAUUCAAAGUAAAAAAAGGACUGAAGUGAAGUCGUAACAAGGUAGCCGUAGGGGAACCUGUGGCUGGAUUAUUAAAUUUAUUUUCUACUACC
rnacentral:rRNA from 1 species